ACCAGACUCCUACGGGAGGCAGCAGUGGGGAAUAUUGCACAAUGGGGGGAACCCUGAUGCAGCGACGCCGCGUGGGUGAAGGAGCACCUCGGUGCGUAAAGCCCUAUCGGCAGGGAAGAAACAGACGGUACCUGACUAAGAAGCCCCGGCUAACUACGUGCCAGCAGCCGCGGGAAUACGUAGGGGGCAAGCGUUAUCCGGGUUUACUGGGUGUAAAGGGGGCGCAGACGGCGAUGCAAGCCAGGAGUGAAAGCCCGGGGCCCAACCCCGGGACUGCUCUGGAAACUGCGGCGCUGGAGUACGGGAGGGGCAGGCGGAAUUCCUGGUGUAGCGGUGAAAUGCGUAGAUAUCAGGAGGAACACCGGCGGCGAAGGCGGCCUGCUGGACCGUGACUGACGUUGAGGCUCGAGAGCGUGGGGAGCAAACAGGAUUAGAUACCCGCGUACAU
rnacentral:rRNA from 1 species